rnacentral:rRNA from 1 species
UACGAAGGGGGCUAGCGUUGUUCGGAAUUACUGGGCGUAAAGCGCGCGCAGGCGGUCCUUCAAGUCAGAGGUGAAAGCCCAGAGCUCAACUCUGGAACGGCCUUUGAAACUAGAGGACUAGAGUACGGGAGAGGUGAGUGGAAUUCCGAGUGUAGAGGUGAAAUUCGUAGAUAUUCGGAAGAACACCAGUGGCGAAGGCGGCUCACUGGCCCGUUACCGACGCUCAGGCGCGACAGCGUGGGGAGCAAACAGG